rnacentral:siRNA from 1 species
CCGGCGAGAGUGAUGGCC